rnacentral:lncRNA from 10 species
UCUGCCUUCCUUGCCUUCCUGUCUGUUUCUCUGUCAUUAGUUUAUCUCCAGCAAUCCAGGCCUCUCUGUCUCAGUCUGUUGCUCUCUCUGUUUCCAUCUUUUGCUCUGUAUUUUUCUGCCCGCCUCUCUUCUUUUUCUGUCUGAGUGCACCUCUGAUUUUAUCUCCUCCUCUGUCACACAGCCCCCUUCCCUCAGUCCUACACUGCCUUUCUCCCAUUCUCCGUAGUUAUCAGCGUUUCGCUGUCUAGUUUUCUCUGUCUCUCGGGCUCGCUCUCUCUCUCUUUCUCUCUCUCUGUCCUGCCCGGGCUCUCUCGCGGCCGCCCCUCCCGUCCCCUCCGCCAGCCCCCCUCCUCCCUCCUCGGCGCGUCUCCCCAGUCCUUAUUUGGCUGGGCGGGAGGGCUGGCGGGAGGAGGCG